UUUAUGAUCGUGUUUCAUUUCUCGUUUUCCAUUUUUUUUCCACUGCCACAGCUUGACAAUCCUUUCUUUUCCGCUUCUCAGGUUUUCAUCAGCUUCCCCUAGCCGUGGUCUCUGUUGGCUCUCCUCGCCGUUGUCUCCGUUGGCUUUUCUCGCCAUGGUCUCCGUUGGCUCUCCUUGCAGUCAUCUCAAAGAGUACACCAACAAUCAGUAUGACAAAUACGACAUCAAGAAGCACUGUGAUUAUAAUGUCUUUGGUGACGAUGCGUUUGCCAGACUCUAUGCCUUCGUUGACGCUGACAUCGAGGCAUUGCUUCAGAUUAUGCAGUGAUUCAUGCAAAUGGGAAGAUGGUCAAUGUCUCAAGGAUCUCAGACUUCUUGGAAUUGACAUGGCCAAAGUCUUCAUAAUUGACAACACUCCACGGGUGCUUAGACUUCAUGUUAAACAAUGGAAUUCCUACAAAAAGUUGGUAUUGGGACUGCAGAGAUCAUGCUCUGAGAAAUUUGCUGCCAUUUCUGGAGAAACUGGUUGAUGUGGAUGAUGUUAGACCCAUUAUUGCAGUUCUGAAAUGUGAGUACGCCGUUAGAGGAGAGGUUGUCACACUUGCUCAUGUACUGUGAUUUGACUGUACAUAUUCAAAUUAGGUCAUUAAUGGAAAAAGUAUUUUUGCCUUGGUUUAUUCCAAGAUGGAUACAUUUUAUACCUUAGCCUUGACAAAAUAAGUUGAUAACUUAUAAACUAAGUUCUCCUCUGACAUGAAAUUAUUAGCAUGGCUUUUCCUGGAAUAUAGCUUAAAAUUGAUCACUUCAGAAUUUUCUAUGGACAAUUGUUGCAAUACUUUCUGCUUACAACGCCUUAAUAUUGCAGAAUUUGCAAAAGGAUUUACUGGCCAAUGCCGGUUCUCAUCCAUUUGACGAGGUACUUUUAUUUUUCAACUAUAUGACUUGAAAUAGAACUUUGUGUUUUUCUUAACUCUCAGGAAGAUAUGUAAGGGGUUCUAUAAAGCUUCUUAUGUGCAUGGUGUUCUUGAAAGGGGUGAACCCACUGUAGCGGACAGUCUUAUCUUGUAUUAGAAAAGUUGUAGUAGAUUAAUUCCACAACUAGAACAUCAGCUUGUCCCCUGGUUUUCCCUGACACAAUGCAAGUUGCCAGAGGUUGUGGGGAUGGGAUAAGUUAUGUGUCUCACUUGCAAUACUAUGGAAAGUUAUGUGUCUCACUUGCAAAAGCAGAGCUUAAUCACGAACUUGCAAGCUUUGGAUUGUGCUAAAACUUUGGCAAUGAAAUUAAAAAGAUAAAAAUUACUGUUGAUAUUUGUGGUCUUUGUCACAUCAUCCUUAAAGACUUUUUCCUACAAGGUUGGUUUAUUUUCUCUGUUCUUGUUAGUAUAAUGAGCUCACACUUAAUACCUAUAAUAUUUUAUACCUGAUGCUAACAAUUCUUCUCUCUCCCUUGUUCAACUUGGUGUGGAAAUCAACAAUGUGGAUUCUUCAGUUGGAAAUCAAGGUCAUUCUACAAUGUACACUAUGUCGAUAUAAAUUUAAGUGUCACUUAUGGGGAAGGAAGGGGAAGGGGCUUCACUUAAGAAAAACUACUGAAGUUUCAAAAUACAAUAUAAAUGCUACAUGUAGAGAAGUCUUAGAGAUUCUCUGCUUCUCACUGCUGAUAGAUACAUCUUCUGUUCUUCUAAAGUAGUCAAAUCAAUACAUAGGAUUUCUUCAUAAACAAGUUAAGGUUUGGCCAUUCUUGUUACAUUAUGCUGAAACUAUCACUGUUAAUAUUCUAGUGACUGGUUUCAUGUAUCGCAAGCAUACAAACUUGGACCUAAAAAUACAUAACAGAUUCUAAAUCAUGUUUAACAAAACCUUGAUCUUAUACAAUUUUUUUUCUUAUCCUUUUUUGACAGAUGCUCUGUGCUCCAUACCCAUAAAGAUCAAUCUUGAAUAUCUUGGACGUGUUGUUUUCAACAAUGAAGGCCUGCUUUAUCCUGACAGUGUUGUUGGGACUGAUUCACAUACAACAAUGAUUGAUUGUCUUGGAGUUGCUGGAUGGGGUGUUGGGGGUAUUGAAGUAGAGGCAGCAAUGCUUGGUUAGAGAUUUGCUAUACCAAAAGAUGUACAAGGAAAAGUUGCAAAAUUUGAUUUUCAUGGGCAGCUAGCGGAGCUCAAACAAAAUUAGACAUUGUCUAUUAGUUUCUUUUUUAGUAA